rnacentral:lncRNA from 1 species
CAGAGGAGCUAGUCUACAGGAUGGCAGGUAACUUAUGACCUGUGUCAUCUUCUUAAUAAGAUGAGCUGGGCCAAUCCAAUUACUUUCUCAGAAAGUCUGCAUGAGAAAACUAAAAUUUUGGAAGAGUUGGCUGCGGGGAUGAAUCACAAGUUGAUGUAGAGGGGCCCAGGGAGGUUGUGCUGGCUCACGUGUAGGCUGAGGAGGGAGUAGAGACUGGGGAGCUAGGGAGGGAAGAGAUCUGGGUGGGCAGACUCAAAGAGAGGUGGAAAGAUGUCACUAGAUGGGAGUGAUCAGGGGGGUCUCCAACCUUUACCACCAUAUCUGUGAGAUCCCUGCUGCUGGAAUCCUGGACUCCUGAGCCUGUUGUACUUCUGGUGGACCUUCCUUUACUUCAGCUAAUGUGGGAAUUAACAUUUGUAUCCUUUCCAUGGAAUACUCGUUAAGAAUACAUCAAACGCAUGCGGUACAAAUGAAUACUUCGAGGACAGCCUGAUGAUUACAUGACACCUGGAGAUUUCCAUGGGGACCUGUGUGGCUUGCCGUUCCAGUUCUGUCCUCUCCGGGGCUUGGGAAGGUUCCACCCAGCUGGACCCCGCCCACGGGCCCACCUGGUGCCAUGCAUGGAGAGGUGAACACGGCUCCCAAGGCCAAGCAUGACAGAACUGGGCAGAAAGAGACUCGGACCAUUUUUCAGGAGCGAUGACCAUCUGCGGACAAGGCCAACCAGCCUUCCUGUCCUAAGAGUCCCAUUUGUCCAAUAAAACUACUUAAAUAAAAGCACCACCCCUCUCCAUGGCCCCCCGCCAGAAACUACAGGAAGGG